CAGUCGCCGCGGGAACACGUAGGGGGCAAGCGUUAUCCGGAAUUACUGGGUGUAAUGGGAGCGUAGACGGUUAAACAAGUCCGAAGUGAAAUGCCGGGGCUCAACCCCGGAGCUGCUUUGGGAACUGUAGAACUGGAGUGUCGGAGGGGUAAGCGGAAUUCCCAGUGUAGCGGUGAAAUGCGUAGAUAUUGGGAGGAACACCGGCGGCGAAGGCGGCUUACUGGACGACAACUGACGUUGAGGCUCGAAGGCGUGGGUAGCAAACAGGAUUAGAUACCCCCGUAGUCCCUGUCUCUUAUAC
rnacentral:rRNA from 1 species